CGGAAGGGUGAGGAACGCGUGAGUAAUCUGCCCCUCAGUUGGGAACAACAGUUGGAAACGACUGCUAAUACCGAAUGUGGCUAAAGCUUCGCAUGGAGCUUUGGCUAAAGAUUUAUCGCUGAGGGAUGAGCUCGCGUCCCAUUAGCUAGUUGGUGGGGUAACGGCUCACCAAGGCGACGAUGGGUAGCUGGUCUGAGAGGAUGGUCAGCCACACUGGGACUGAGACACUGCCCAGACUCCUACGGGAGGCUGCAGUCGAGAAUCUUGGGCGAUGCGCGAAAGCGUGACCCAGCAAUGCCGCGUGUAUGAUGAAGGCCCUCGGGUCGUAAAGUACUGUCUCCCGUGACGAAAUAUGACGGUAACGGGGAAGGAAGCCACGGCUAACUACGUGCCAGCAGCCGCGGUAAUACGUAGGUGGCGAGCGUUGUUCGGAUUUAUUGGGCGUAAAGGGUCUGUAGGAGGUCUGCUAAAUACGGGGUGAAAUCCCGAAGCUCAACUUCGGAAUUGCCUUGUAGACUGGCGGACUAGAGUACCGGAGAGGUAAGCGGAAUACCAGGUGUAGCGGUGGAAUGCGUAGAUAUCUGGUAGAACACCAAAAGCGAAGGCAGCUUGCUGGACGGAAACUGACUCUGAAAGACGAAAGCAUGGGGAGCAAACAGGAUUAGAUACCCUGGUAGUCCAUGCCGUAAACGUUGUCAACUUGAUGUGGGGGGAUUUAGUCCUCCCCGUAUCGAAGCUAACGCGAUAAGUUGACCGCCUGGGGACUACGGCCGCAAGGCUAAAACUCAAAGGAAUUGACGGGGGCCCGCACAAGCGGUGGAGCAUGUGGCUUAAUUCGAGGCAACGCGAAGAACCUUACCUGGUCUUGAAAUAUAUCGGAUCG
rnacentral:rRNA from 1 species